rnacentral:tRNA from 1 species
GGUAAUGUGGCUUAGUGAUACAGUGCUUGCCUAGCAUGCAUGAAGUCCUGGGUUCAAUUCCUCAGUACCA